UACAGAGGGUGCGAGCGUUGUUCGGAAUUACUGGGCGUAAAGCGCGCGUAGGCGGUGAUCUUUGUCGGAGGUGAAAGCCUGGGGCUCAACUCCAGAAUUGCCUUUGAAACGGGAUCGCUUGAGUCCGAGAGAGGAUGGCGGAAUUCCUAGUGUAGAGGUGAAAUUCGUAGAUAUUAGGAAGAACACCGGUGGCGAAGGCGGCCAUCUGGCUCGGUACUGACGCUCAGGCGCGAAAGCGUGGGGAGCAAACAGGG
rnacentral:rRNA from 1 species